rnacentral:lncRNA from 1 species
GGGCUCAGAUGGGUCGGUAGAUUAUACGGUCACCCUUGUCAUGUCGGAUUAUGAACAAAAUUUCAAGAGCUGCCUCCCUUCAACAAACCCACUGUGCAAAAACCCAUCUUCCUAGUCAAGCAAAUUAGGAAGAGAUUAUUCAUUUUCCAAAAGACUUUUCCUUUGGCCAGGAAAGAACACCCUUAGUUUGCCAGAAAAUCCUGCCAGCCGCCUCCCUGAGUGCAUGGACUGCUAGAUUCCGUUUUGUAAAAUCGAGACAGCGGCUCAGGCGCACAUGCAGUGCGUGGAGUGCAGAAGGCCUGGGUACUCCGGAAGCUUCCAGAGACAGCGUGGGGCGGCUGACGUGCGGGGAGACACAGACGUGGAGGACGCCACGGCCGCCUCGCCCCCAGGGCUCCCGGAGCGCGGCUGGCUGAGGAGCCAAGCAGAUGGUGCUGCUGAGCGUUUCCUGCCUGGGCGGGAGGAGGUGGGGUUGCCGCCGGCGGGGCCUGUGACUGUGAGUGCGGCUCGCUGAGCAGCUGAUGUGGGGGGUAGGGGGGGCGCGGAUUACGCCAUGUGUGACGGCAGAGGGGGGACAACGUGUCGAGAGACGUGGCCUUGGAUGUAAGGAAGGGUCGUGAGAAAAUACGCAGGAAGAGAUACCCCGUGGACAUGUUUCCCUUGGAAAGUGGAGGGAACCCUCUGAGCCGUGAUUCCGCCUGAAUUAAGCAGUGGCGGGCACUGGCCUGGCAGGCGGCUUCUACUGCCUUGGAUUUGCACCUCUAAGGGGUCACAGGGGCCACCCCCGAAACAAGACAAAGUGUGAUCAUGGACAGGCCCUCGGGGGGCCGGAAGAAGGAACGGCUCCAGUGAUGAAAGCUGAACGCCAGCUCUCUCCCCAUCGUUCUCCCGGACCAGGAGAGGGCUGCUCGGCAGGGCUAGGUUUAAAAACCUUCCAUGCAACUUACGAAGGCAUCCACAGUGACUUCUGCUGCUGUGGAAGAGUCUCUCCCUUUUGCAAACGCCAGCCACAGAGGUUUAUUUUUCUCCCUGAGAGAAGGAAGAGUGAAGGCUGAGACUGAGACAGAAGGACAGAAGGAGAAGACUUAGAAGCCAGUGAGCCCGGAACCACGAGACGCGCUCUGAGGACACGGGGCCUCGGGGAAACCGGGCACGGGCAGGGGUUGGUCUUGGCUUCCCCGCAACAUUGCCGCGAGCUCGGGUGCCGUCUCCACUCGCAGGCUGGCCUGUCCUCUGCAGCCACGAGCUCAGGCACCGUCUCCGUUCAUAGGCCAGCCUGUUCUCUGCAGCCUGAGGUCCCUGUGGUGCCAACAUCCAGAUGCUGAGAUAAUUCUGCCAGGGUGUUGGCUGAUCGGUGAUUGGUGGUUGGCUGUUCCGUGAGUUCUGCAUUGAUCUUGCUGGCUGAGCGUCCAAUGCGGAGGGGCAGGUGCUGUUAGGGUCUCCACUCCCAUCCCUCUCCCCAGGACUCAUCACCCACUGCAACCGUAAGCUGCUAGGGGCUCACAGCCGUGAGUCUUUGGGACGGGUGGUCCCACCUGGCAUGUAGCUCAGGCUCCUAGCCCCAGGACCCUGCCGCUGCUCCCCUCCCGCCCACAUCUUGGCUUAGCCGUCUUCCCUGGCUGCCAGCCCCUUCCCCUGGUCUUAGUUGGCUUGAGCCACUAAACUGAAAUAGCACACCCUGAGGCCUUCAACAGCAGACCUGAUUUCUCACCAUCUGGAGGCUGGAGGUCCAGGAUCCAGGCCCCCAAGGCUGCUUUCUCCCCCACUCCCCCACCCACCUUCCAGGACACGCAGACUCCACCCUCUUGCUGCCCUGUCUCAGGGCUGUCCCUCUGGGCAAGCAGGCCCCUGGCAUCCCCGUGUGUCUUCUCCUCCUGUUCUUAUAAGGACACCAGUCAUACUGGAUCUGGGCCCACCCUAGUGACCUCAUUUACCUUAAUCACCUCUGAAAGACCUUGUCUCAAAAACAGCCACAUUCUGGGGCACUGAGGGUUAGGGCUUUAACAUGGGAAUUUGAGGGAUGCAAUUCACCCCAUAAAACCCAGACCAUUCCCCCAGUAAAUCACUUUCACAAGAGCUCUUCUCUCAGGCUUUGCUUCUGGGGGAUCCCCCUUGAGAUGGAUCCAUCUAGCUUCCUGCUUCUCAAAGAACAGAGGGGAGAGCUCUGGUGCGAAGGGAACGGGUGGCCUCGGGGACCUGCGGAUAAGCUGCUGGCACUGCCAGGGGACAGGCUGAGCUGAAAGCCAGGAGGAGGGCGGCGAGGCCCGGGGCCGGACCUCAUUCUUCUGAGUGUUAUAAAAUCUGGCUUUGCUCAGAAACUGCCCCAUGUGUGCUUUUGUUAAUUGAAGUGCAAAAUUUUCUCCAAGUAAUAACUGGAGUCGUUUAACAAUACAAAUAAUUUGCACCUUAAUUUGGUCGAUGGCACAAUUGCUAAUUCCUAGAGACUCAGAGGAGCAAAGUGAUCACGAAUUCCAAGAGUGGAAACAAAUCCAUUCCGCAAAUUUCACCCUGGCUUCUUCCUCGCCGGCCUGGGAGCUGCCCCGAGGGUCCUGGAACCUUCAGCUGCUUCCGGGCUCAGCCGGUGUCGUGGGGAGCCAGGUCCUGUGGUGGCUCCCAGCCCCAAAGCUGACUCUGCGUGGGACAACAAACGGUUUAAUUAACCUCUCAGCUUUUUCAUCUGUGAAGCGGAGCUUGGGAUGCUUGCCACCGGACCAGGAGGCCACGAAGACGGAUGUUAGAAAACCUCUGUGCCAGUGACGAAAGACAUCGAAGCUAUAAUACCCUGUUAGGCAAAGCAAGAAGAUAACUCAUACAUGCAGGAGACAGUCUCCUUGUGCAGAGGGGCCUUUGGAACCGAUGUAUGGUGGAGCCCUGAGAAACCUGAAGCUGUGUAGAGCCUGCAGCCCCCGCCCCACGUCCCAAAGCGAUGUGGCCUGGGGAGCUCUUGUCCUGCCCUUUUUGGACACCCCCCUUCUUUGAGGGCAUCUUUCUUCUUAAAGGUGUUGGGGCGGGAGUAGGUGGGGGUCUAGCUUUGCUGAUUUCCUUGUAAGUGCAUUUUAUUAUUAUUAUUAUUAUUAUUAUUAUUAUUAUUAUUAUUUUGAGACAGAAGCUCGCUCUGAUGAGCGAGAUUCAAAAUUAUUAUUUUGAGACGGGGUUUCACUAUGUUGGCCAGGCUGGUCUCGAACUCCUGACCUCAGGGAUCCACCCACCUCGGCCUCCCAAAGUGCUGGGAUUACAGGCAUGAGCCACUGCGCCCAGCCAAGUGCAUUGUUUUUAAAAGGGGUAAAUCAUCUAGUGAAACCCCAUCUCUAUUAAAAUACAAAAAUUAGCCAGGCCUGGUGGUGCACACCUGUAGUCCCAGCGACUCCAGAGUCUGAGGCAGGAGAAUCGCUUGAACCUGGGAGGCGGAGGUUGCAGUGAGCUGAGAUCGCGCCACUGCUCUCCAGCCUCGGUGACAGAGCGAGAUUCCGUCUCAAAAUAAUAAUAAUAAUAGUCUGUCUCUGUGUGUUUAAUUACAAGUAACUAACUAGUUACUGUUGCAACUCAUUUAUUUGGGGACAGGCUCCUAUCUAGUGUCCCACCACGAUAUUAUUUGGGCCAGGAAAGACAUACACAACCGAUGAAAGGCUGGGAGCUGAAUCUUAGUGCUAAAGAUUCGCUGUGGGAAAGCACAGAGCCUAGGAGUUUGCUAAGGGCCUGGGCUCCUACAGGCAGGCACCGCUGACUGAUAGCCAGAAGAUUCUAGACUCCCAGGCCACCGGUUUCUUGAAGUGGCAUUAACCCUGGCAGGCUCUUUGAAGUGUGUGCCCAGAGACUGGGUUGGUGGGGGGUCUGUGCAGGAGCCAGGCCACCUGUGCUCAGAGUCAGCAAUGCGCGUUUCUCUGUCCGUAAGUCAGCGGUGCGGGUCUCUGUGUGACUGUGUCAGGGUGCUCUUGGGAAGAGGGGUGAGGGGCUGUGGGCCUCGAGCUGACGGGACGGGCAGGAAGGCUCACCUACCGAGGACAGCAAGUCAGAGCCAACAGGGGAGCCCUCCGGGGAAAGGGCUUUCAAGCCCUGGCACCACCAAGGUUUCAACCAAGAGACGUUGAACCAGGUUCCAGUAGACAACCCGCUGUCAGGGUGCACAGACUGUGGAAACCAGUGAGAAGUCCUCUUCCUGUACAACACGGUGGCCAGUGCAUGGCUGCAGACCUCAGCCAAAAGCCCACAGCCAGGCCAGCAGUUACAGGCGGCAGCCGGUCUCUUGUCUUCCCAAGGCCCCAGCAGCUCUGUCCUUCCACACAGCCCCUGCUGACGGCCAUCGUUGGUAUGGACACAUCAGGCCUCCAGGCUGCUGCAGGGCCUGUCCCUGGUGGCAGCUGUGACAUUAGUCAUCGAGGGGCUCCCCUGGCCUCCCCUGGCUGGCUGGGAGUGAGGUGACAUAAAUAGACUGAGCAGGUAGCUCUGCAGACCACGGGAUCACCAGCGUCCCUUGUGGCCAGUGUGGCUUUAAAGUGUGUCCCAGAGGUGGCUCUUGAGGCAGUCUUGCUGGACUGUUAUUAGGCACAUCUGCUCCAGGGAGUGCCCAUUCAUUAUGGCCAAAUAAGCAGGCAUAGGCGCCGGCCCCAGACGAGGUCUCUGGGGAACUCCAGGGGUGGGAGAGCCACCCUCUCCAGCGGCCUCAGGGCCCCGGUGCUCGGAAGCCUGGCUCCUCUGGCUUGAGCUCAGGUCUACAGCGAGCAGGGAGUCUUCCUACUGCUGCUCCAAGCUGCCUGGGCCAGCUGUGUUCGCCGAGGGGGCUGCCGGCUCACCACUGCCUGCCUUGAGUGCCAGGGUCUUUUGUGAAAUAAUCAUGUUACUCAAGUUCAGUCCUUGAAUAAAUAGCACAUUUUUG